UAUUCCAGUACCACCAUAAUGCGUUUGACAAAUGGGAUGACGCAGGAGGAUAGGAUGUGCGCACUAUUGGAUGUGCGUCUAAGCACUUAGGGUGUUAAGUAGGCAAAUCCGCUUAACAUUAAGCCUGAGGUGUGAUGGGGAGCCUAUUUUGGCGAAGUAUCUGAUUCCACGCUGCCAAGAAAAGUCUCUAUGGAGCAAAAUGGUGCCCGUACCGCAAACCGACACAGGUAGAUGAGGAGAGAAUCCUAAGGUCGUCGGAAGAAUUAUUGCUAAGGAACUCGGCAAAUUGACCCCGUAACUUAGGGAGAAGGGGUGCCUACGAGAGUAGGCCGCAGUGAAUAGGCUCAAGCAACUGUUUAUCAAAAACACAGGUCUCUGCUAAAGCGUAAGCUGAUGUAUAGGGGCUGACGCCUGCCCGGUGCUGGAAGGUUAAGGGGAAUAGUUAGCGCAAGCGAAGCUAUGAACUUAAGCCCCAGUAAACGGCGGCCGUAACUAUAACGGUCCUAAGGUAGCGAAAUUCCUUGUCGGGUAAGUUCCGACCCGCACGAAUGGCGUAAUGAUUUGAGCACUGUCUCGGCAAUAAAUCCGGUGAAAUUGUAGUGCAAGUGAAGAUGCUUGCUACCCGCGGGUGGACGGAAAGACCCCGUAGAGCUUUACUGUAGCUUAGCAUUGAAUUUCGGUAUUGUCUGUACAGGAUAGGUGGGAGACUUAGAAGCGA
rnacentral:rRNA from 1 species